rnacentral:lncRNA from 1 species
AAAUAGAAGAAAAAGGCCAAAUUGCACAUUUGGUCCUCAAACUUUGAGGAGCGUGACAUUAUGGUCUUAAAAUUUCAACUUCUUAUAAUUUUUUACUUAAAUUUUUAAAAUUAUUGCAAUCAAGUCUUGCAUUUUAAUAUAGUUAAUUAAAUGUCGAUACGUUGUUAAUAUUAAAGUAAUAUAGUUGGGUUGGGAUUGAUUACGCGAUAAUAAUUAAGAUGGUAUAUAUAUAUCUUCGACAUCAACGAUAUGCUAAUAUUAUGUCAGUUAAAUUGAAUUAUAGAAUUUAACUUUAAUAAUUUAUAAAAUUCGAGUUAAAAAUUAUAAUAGAUUAAAGUUUAAAGAUUAAAUAUCGUGCUUUUGUGCUUUUGAUAUACAUUGCAUGAAAAAUAUAAAAAAUGAUAAAAUCAAGAAAAUAAAUAAAUUAGUUCUGAUUUCUAAUUAAA